rnacentral:rRNA from 1 species
AGUAAGGAAUAUUGGUCAAUGGACGCAAGUCUGAACCAGCCAUGCCGCGUGGAGGAUGAAGGUCCUCUGGAUUGUAAACUUCUUUUAUCUGGGAAGAAACCCAUAUUUUCUAGUGUGGUUGACGGUACCAGAUGAAUAAGCACCGGCUAACUCCGUGCCAGCAGCCGCGGUAAUACGGAGGGUGCAAGCGUUAUCCGGAUUCACUGGGUUUAAAGGGUGCGUAGGCGGGUUGGUAAGUCCGUGGUGAAAUCUCCGAGCUUAACUCGGAAACUGCCGUGGAUACUAUCAAUCUUGAAUAUCGUGGAGGUAAGCGGAAUAUGUCAUGUAGCGGUGAAAUGCUUAGAUAUGACAUAGAACACCAAUUGCGUAGGCAGCUUACUACACGAUCAUUGACGCUGAGGCACGAAAGCGUGGGGAGCAAA